rnacentral:rRNA from 1 species
GCACUCCUACGGGAGGCAGCAGUGGGGAAUAUUGCACAAUGGGCGCAAGCCUGAUGCAGCCAUGCCGCGUGUAUGAAGAAGGCCUUCGGGUUGUAAAGUACUUUCAGCAGUGAGGAAGGUGGGUAUGUUAAUAGCAUACUCAUUUGACGUUAGCUGCAGAAGAAGCACCGGCUAACUCCGUGCCAGCAGCCGCGGUAAUACGGAGGGUGCGAGCGUUAAUCGGAAUUACUGGGCGUAAAGCGCAUGCAGGUGGUUUGUUAAGUCAGAUGUGAAAGCCCGGGGCUCAACCUCGGAAUUGCAUUUGAAAACUGGCAAACUAGAGUACUGUAGAGGGGGUAGAAUUUCAGGUGUAGCGGUGAAAUGCGUAGAGAUCUGAAGGAAUACCGGUGGCGAAGGCGGCCCCCUGGACAGAUACUGACACUCAGAUGCGAAAGCGUGGGGAGCAAACAGGAUUAGAUACCCUGGUAG